CUGCGGAAGGCCGCAGGGACCUCUGCCUAGGAAAGCCAGAGACCUUUGUUCACGUGUUUAUCUGCUGACCUUCUCUCCGCUAUUCUCCUAUGACCCUGCCACAUGCCCCUCUCCGAGAAACACCCAAGAAUGAUCAAUAAAUACUAAGG